rnacentral:rRNA from 1 species
UACAGAGGUCUCAAGCGUUGUUCGGAUUCAUUGGGCGUAAAGGGUGCGUAGGCGGCGCGGUAAGUCGGGUGUGAAAUCUUGGAGCUUAACUCCGAAACUGCAUUCGAUACUGCCGUGCUUGAGGACUGGAGAGGAGACUGGAAUUUACGGUGUAGCGGUGAAAUGCGUAGAUAUCGUAAGGAAGACCAGUGGCGAAGGCGGGUCUCUGGACAGUUCCUGGACGCUGAGGCACGAAGGCCAGGGGAGCAAACGGG